AUUAAUGAAUUGCCUCUGUUUGUAG
rnacentral:piRNA from 1 species